GUGAGGAAUAUUGGGCAAUGGGCGAAAGCCUGACCCAGCAACGCCGCGUGGAUGAUGAAGGCCUUCGGGUUGUAAAAUCCUUUUCUGAGGGACGAUAAUGACGGUACCUUAGGAAGAAGUCCCGGCUAACUACGUGCCAGCAGCCGCGGUAAAACGUAGGGGGCGAGCGUUAUCCGGAUUUAUUGGGCGUAAAGCGCACGUAGGCGGCACGGUAAGUUGGGCGUGAAAGCUCUCGGCUUAACUGAGAGAGGUCGUUCAAAACUACCGUGCUUGAGGUUGGAAGAGGAGAGCGGAAUUCCCGGUGUAGUGGUGGAAUGCGUAGAUAUCGGGAGGAACACCAGUGGCGAAAGCGGCUCUCUGGUCCACACCUGACGCUGAGGUGCGAAAGCGUGGGGAGCGAACGGGAUUAGAUACCCUAGUAGUCC
rnacentral:rRNA from 1 species